UGCAAGAAGGAGGAGAUUUGCGGCUCGGGGAGAAGGCUGAAGAGGAGCAGGAACAGGCUGGAGGCUGCUGUGCAACUCACAAAGCAAAGCAGUCUGAGCAGAGGAGAGACCAAACGGAGGUGCCACUGGGCCUGGUGGAGAAGCCGUAAGAAAGGAAAGAUGGAAGGAAGGGCCCAGAGUGCUGGGCUGAGGAGCUGCCCUCUCCCCUGCAGGCAGUGGGAGCUACAGAGAGCUUCUGAGCAGUGUGACGGGGCAGUGUGUUACAGAAUAAAUCUGGUCGGCUGCAGACUGGAAGGGACAGGUGACACCACGACGACAGAGAGAGACAGGACAAGUCCCUGGAGCUGUCUGGAUACAGAGCAACCCCUCUCUCUAGCUAACCCGGGACAGGACCUCCUCAUGUACAUCAAAACCGCAUCUACCAGAUUGCCACAUCCAGGUGGAGGUGAGAUCAUUCCUAGAUCCCUUUGCCAUGUCUGGGGACUUUCUGGACUCUUGCUGAUUGGAUCCUUUGCUUAAAUCAACUUUCUCAUUCUCUUUUACUUACUCAAAUUUACUUGAAAUGGAAACUCUAUCUUUCCCACUAAUACUUGUUAAGUAAAUCCAUUAAAUACAUCAUAUAUAUGUAACUAUUAAAAUGAAAAACUUUCAUUCAUGCUUCCCCUAAAAUCACCUGGGGACCUCUGAGCUUCAGAAAUAUUGCUUCAUGACCCAUCCUUGCUCUCCUGCUGCAGUGGCCUCAAUUAAAGAUUUUGCAUCUGGAAAAGCCAGGUCAGAAAGUCACUCAGAACCAGGAGAGGGAAGGAGGCCAGGUCUGGCCCCAGGGCGGGACCCUGGUGGGUUUGGGACAGAGGGGCUAGGACACCAAAGGCACUGCCCAGGGAAGGGAAUGAGGCCUCGUUGAGAGCUAUGGCAGCUGGGCAGUCUGCAGAGACCAUGAUGCAAAUGUCAAGUUUCCAACAACUUUUAUGGAUGGUUCAUUCCUAAACAUCUGAGCAGCCUGUUUGGACCCAGAGUGUGUUGUCGCAGGCACUGGAGAUGGAGAGCUUCUUCCAUUUGCUGAGUGCCGACUGAGUCCAGCACUGUGCUAAGUUCCUGCUACAUUUUGUCUCACGUAGUCCUCGCAAGCACUUUAUUAGUCUCUUUCCAGAGCCAGCCGCUGGGCAGCCAGUGCCUCUCUCCUCAGAAACACCUCCAGGAAAUCCCACCUCCCAGGUGACCCCACCAGAACCGGCACCCUCCUGAGUACAGCAGGCCGGACCGCAGGUCCAUUGGCUUUUCUGUGAUGGGACUGAUUAAUCUAAUGCUGAGAAACCUUGGCAGCUGUUAAAGAUACUUGGACUGUUGGCUGUAGCUUCAGACAAAUGGGAUA